AGCAGAAAUGAUGAGCCCAUGUUACCGCCCCAGUCUGAAAUUUUAUGACUGAUUGGUCCUCUCUGAUCUUCA